UUAACUUCCGGGUACAUCAACAUCUCAGAUUGCACUGUGUAGAGAGUGGUAUACAUAGAUAUAGCGUUAUCAAUCGAUUAUGUGGAGGUUUCAACGAGAUAAACAUGGGAAUUGAAGCAUUAGUGGAGUGGUCGAGGAUUCUUCGCUUCGUGCUUGACGAAUUACGUAUUAACCGCCAGUGUACAAGCAUCGACGAGGCCGGGUACGUCUUGCAGAAAGAGCAGAUAUAAGAAGGCAAAUAAAACUGUUCAAUGUAAAAUACGCCAGUAGUUGGAUAAAACAUCCAAAGUCGACACAGUCAAAGUUCACAACAACAAUGAAGGAAUUAACUGCAUCCUCAUUCCGCAGGGCAACAGGCCAUUUUCAGCAACCCCUGAAAUUCUUAAUUUAGGCUAAGUGCCCAUUUUCAGCUCGAACAAUGACAAUUAAAGAGGCCUGUGCAAAUGUUGGGAUUUCCCUCUUGAAAAAGUGAUGCAAGGGAUGGUUCGCUGCACCUCAAAACAAAAUAUGAAUAUUGGCAUCAAAUUCAAGGACAACACCUGAAAGACACCCAAUGCUGUGAUUUGCUAGUGUGGAUUCCUAGUGACACUCAAAUAA